rnacentral:snRNA from 1 species
GUGCCCACUUUGGCAGCACACAUACUAAAAUUGGAAUGAUACAGAGAAGAUUGCCAUGGUCCCUGCACAAGGAUGACAUGCAAAUUAGUGAAGUGUUCCAUGUUUUU